GUUCUAAAGAACGCCCUAUCUAUCUCGUUUCUUUACAGAGAUCCCCCCUCCAGCUUCCUCCCCUCACCGAUCCACCUUUGGAGUGUUCCACGCAGCCCCUGCGAUAUGAGAACAGGCAACUAGAUUCGCACACACGUAUUCCCGUUGCUUUUUCCUGCGGCUUUUUGCUGUUUUUCGGUAUCCCACAAUUUCUUGUUUGGCGCGUUCCCCUUGCCUAUCUGCGCGUCUUGCGCGUUUUGGCGGCGCUAGCGCUUGCCAAAAUCGUGCGUUCUCAGAGCGGGUGUCUACACCAAAGUCGCGUUGGCGCGGCACGAACUCCGCGUAGAGCGGGCUCUUGCAGAGAAGCGCUUCUUCACGUUAUUCGCGGAGGCCUGCGCUCGCCAACGAAGAAGGAAUCACCCCACUCGUGCCUUGCGUCCUCAUGUCUUCCGACGGCAAGCAGCAGCUCCUUGUGGUGGCGGCCGUGACGGCGGCGGCUGCAACAAUGUCCAUGUUCUACUUGUGGAGGAAUAAGGACUUCGCUAAAAAUCUAGGCAUGCUCGGACACAAGAUUGGCGCCGCGGUGCGCAAGCGCACGUCAUCCUCUGCUGGCGAAGCGCCUGGGAGCGGCAUCCGUCCUGUCUCGGGUAUCGUGAAGAAGGGCUACACGCGCGAGCAGCUCUCCCAGUACGACGGUGUCAAGAACGAGCGCAUCUUCAUGAGUGUCAAGAUGAAAGUAUACGAGGUCGCCCCACACUUUUACGGGCCUGGGCAGCACUAUCACGUAUUUGCCGGUACGGAGGCCUCUCGUGCCUUGGCCAAGGCGGACCUGACGGGGAAGUACCUGAACCAGUACUGGGUGAAUUGCUCCGAGGAGGAGCUGGAGGUGCUCGAGGAGUACGUGGAGAAGUUCAACUCCAAGUACCCCAUUGUCGGCUGGUACGUCCCGGAUGAUCAGUUCUACAAGGUGACGGAGUGAAGCACACUGUGGUGUUUCCUUUUCUCUCUUCUUCCCCAUCUUGUUGGCGGAACUGCACGCACGUGUGUGCUGGUUUCUUUGCGCGGUUGUUCAAAGGCGCCGCAUGCAGCGAGGGAGAGCAGCUGGAGUGCAGAGGUGACGUGGGCGCGUGCCGGCCCGGGUAAGGCGUUACGCGAUCGCUCAAGGGGUAGGGGAAGACGCGAGAGGGAGAGAGCGAGCAAGCGAGAGAGCUGUUUAAGGGAAAAGAAAAAGAGGGAUGCUGUUAGCGUUGCCCUUUAGAGGAGGUGCUUCCUGUACGCAUCUUACUGUAGAGCCUUCUCUUACUCCGUAAAGUCUGUUAGUGGUGUGCGUUAGCUCGUUGCAUCUGGCCCAUCCCUUCUACGCUUCCUCUCUCUCGGUCUUCACCGGGUGCUCUUGUGUGCGUGUUUGCGCGUACACAUGUUUCUCUCUGUGUUGGCUCUUGCGACCCCUACCACCACCCAUCCUCUCCCUAUUGUAUUCUAGUUUACUCAUUCUUUUUGUCGCUGUUGCCCUCCGUGCGCCGUGGCGGUUCUCACCCUCUCUUGGGGAAUCCCUUUGUUUGGUGUCUCACCUCCUCACCCACCCACCACUCACUUCCCCAUCCCCGUCUACGAGCACGAAAGGUCCCUCUUGUGUGCACAGGCCACCACCAUCACCACCUCACCUUCCUCCAGAAUAAAGCGGGCAUUCUCCUCUCUCUCUCUGCGUGUAUGGCCGUGCGUGCGUAUGUUAUCUUGUUCUCUGUUCCUUCCCUCUUAACGAGCAUGUCCAUAUCCCCCGCCUGGUGUCGUCCGCUCGCUAUCUGUCCCUUUCGCCUCUGUCUUUGGUGUGGUUAUCGGCUCUCGCUCUCUCCGUCUUCCUCUCUGCAAGUGUGUGUGUGCUCGCGUGCUGGGUUUGUUGCUUUUAGAGGCACCUUCUCACCCGCUCAUCCCCUCGUUGUGUCUUCAUUUAUCGACGCUGUUGUGCAGUGCAGGUCGCCGUGGGUGCGCCUCUUCCUUGCCCACCAGCCCCCGUACCCUCGUUUGGUUGAUCUCAGUCGCGGCGCUGUUCUUCGGACGACGCUUUUUGCUCGCUUCUCGCAUCUCUGUCUGUCUCUCUCUCCCCUGAGCACACACUAGCUCUGUCGCGUGUGCACACUUCUCAUUUUUUCGGUCGGUGAGUCGUCGCUGUGUAUGUCUGUUGCCAAGCUCGUCACGCACCGCCUUGGUAUAUGAUGCCAUUAUUUAUUCUGCACAUGUCUCGUUAUGACGUCUAUACAGCACCCCACUCGCACCUCUGAACGGCGUGCACCCUACAGCGAGUCGCGGAGACGCAUGUGCAGAUGGGCGGCCUAACACCUUAAACUACGCGGUCGACGCAGUUGAUCACCGAAAAACGCCGCAGAUGAAAGGGUGCCUUGUAAAGGGACGCCUGUGGUGCACAUUGAAAACGGCAGCCACGACGUGCGCCCGCUCCUCGUAAGUCUCACACAGUAAGAAAAGAUAAGCAUCUCUGGGAACGCAAGAGAGGCUGCUGUGCCUAGUGGCCUAACGAGCCCUUGCACACGCUGCUGUGCUGACUGGUAAAAGAGCCCCAUCUAUUAUCCAGACCAUGCAAUGCAAGGCCUCGAGCCUUUCUUUACCUAGCAGUACCUUCAACUGUCAUUCGCACAGCCGUAUGCAAGAUGUAGCUUUCCUCCUCUCGCGG
rnacentral:misc_RNA from 1 species